rnacentral:rRNA from 2 species
AACAUUGAGACGAGUGGCGAACUGGUGAGUAACACGUGGGUAACCUGCCCUUGAAGUAGGGGAUAACACUUGGAAACAGGUGCUAAUACCGUAUAACAACCAAAACCACCUGGUUUUGGUUUAAAAGACGGCUUCGGCUGUCACUUUAGGAUGGACCCGCGGCGUAUUAGCUUGUUGGUAAGGUAACGGCCUACCAAGGCGAUGAUACGUAGCCGACCUGAGAGGGUAAUCGGCCACAUUGGGACUGAGACACGGCCCAAACUCCUACGGGAGGCAGCAGUAGGGAAUCUUCCACAAUGGACGAAAGUCUGAUGGAGCAACGCCGCGUGAGUGAUGAAGGGUUUCGGCUCGUAAAACUCUGUUGUUGGAGAAGAACAGGUGUCAGAGUAACUGUUGACAUCUUGACGGUAUCCAACCAGAAAGCCACGGCUAACUACGUGCCAGCAGCCGCGGUAAUACGUAGGUGGCAAGCGUUGUCCGGAUUUAUUGGGCGUAAAGCGAGCGCAGGCGGUUUUUUAGGUCUGAUGUGAAAGCCUUCGGCUUAACCGGAGAAGUGCAUCGGAAACCGGGAGACUUGAGUGCAGAAGAGGACAGUGGAACUCCAUGUGUAGCGGUGAAAUGCGUAGAUAUAUGGAAGAACACCAGUGGCGAAAGCGGCUGUCUGGUCUGUAACUGACGCUGAGGCUCGAAAGCAUGGGUAGCGAACAGGAUUA